rnacentral:rRNA from 1 species
UUUGAUCAUGGGCUCAGAACGAACGCUGGCGGCGCGUUUUAAGCAUGCAAGUCGAGCGGUAAGCAGUCUUCGGACUGCCUAGAGCGGCGAACGGGUGAGUAACACGUAGAUGAUCUACCUUGAGGUUGGGGAUAGCCUGUGGAAACACAGGGUAAUACCGAAUAAGCCCUAUGGGGGAAAGGUGCCAAGGCACCGCCUUAGGAUGAGUCUGCGGCUCAUUAGUUAGUUGGUGGGGUAAAGGCCUACCAAGGCGACGAUGAGUAGCCGGCCUGAGAGGGUGGACGGCCACACUGGGACUGAGACACGGCCCAGACUCCUACGGGAGGCAGCAGCUAAGAAUCUUCCGCAAUGGGCGCAAGCCUGACGGANCGACGCCGCGUGAACGAAGAAGGCCGUGAGGUUGUAAAGUUCUUUUCUUACUGAAGAAUAAUUACUGCAGGGAAUGGCAGUGAGAUGACGUUAGGUAAGGAAUAAGCCCCGGCUAAUUACGUGCCAGCAGCCGCGGUAA